CCUACGGGUGGCAGCAGUGGGGGAUAUUGCACAAUGGGGGAAACCCUGAUGCAGCGACGCCGCGUGGGUGAAGAAGCGCCUCGGCGCGUAAAGCCCUGUCAGCAGGGAAGAAAAUGACGGUACGUGAAGAAGAAGCCCCGGGUAACUACGUGCCAGCAGCCGCGGUAAUUUGUAGGGGGCAAGCGUUAUCCGGAUUUACUGGGUGUAAAGGGGGUGCAGAGGGCGAUGGAAGUCAGGAGGGAAAGCCCGGGGCCGAACACCGGGACUGCUCUUGAAACUGGGUGGCUGGAGUGCAGGAGGGGUAGGCGGAAUUCCUGGUGUAGCGGUGAAAUGCGUAGAUAUCAGGAGGAACACCGAUGGCGAAGGCGGCCUACUGGACUGCAACUGACGUUGAGGCCCGAAAGCGUGGGGAGCGAACAGGAUUAGAUACCCUUGUAGUC
rnacentral:rRNA from 1 species